ACUGCAAUUCCUACUUAUGGGUAAUGAAAUCACCUUGAAGAAGAGCUUUGAAAAUGGUACCCAUAAUUUCCUUUCCAUCAGCACUCAACAAAUUCUCCAGCUGCUCCCAUCACGUUCCAGACCUCUUCGCAUGUUCCUGAGCAACGCAAGGAUGCUACUACCUACUUUUAGGUCCAGCAUUUGCUUCUGUUCUUCUGACCACGUGUGCUUAUCACUGUUUAUCACUGGGAGACAUGGCGGACUUACCAGAGGGUACUGCAAGGAGCAAACAACAGACAAACAAGUGAUGACCAAGCAUAAAGCAGCCGAACCUUGAGCAUGCAGGUACAGGAGUACAGAAGAGAGAAAUCACAGAGAAGGAGUAAAGCAGACAUGAUGAGCUCUCCACCUAGACUCUGGAUUUCUGCUUUAACUUGACUGCAUAUUUUGAGCUGAUGGGAGUACAGCUUGAUCUGUUCUAGGUGCAACUCUGCAGUCUGAAUUCCCGGUUUUCCUGAUAUAGCAGCAGAACAGCAGAGUCAGAAAGCCACCAGCUCAGAUUAACUCCUUUUCUCCACAUAUUAAAGUCACAAAAGUCCAUUAAACCUAUUUUUCCCCAGCCAGUAGACAGAUUCUUACCUGUUUUAUAUAUACUAGUAUUUUGUUUGUCAAGCUUUAAGUAUGGGGAAAAAACCACUUUGCUUAGUACUCUGUUUCACCAAUUUGUAAAUCUCACUGUGUGGAUUAUUUUUGACCUGUAUACUUCGUUCUUCUGUCUUUUUAUAUCUCCAUGUAGAUACUUGUGGAUCUGUUUUGGCUCCUUUCAUGAAAGAUGUAAUGCAUCUCUUCCUCACACUUCACUAUUUUCAAGCACGAAAGCCUUAUCAGGACUACGCGAACAAAACCAAGACACAUAAUGUUAUAUUUAUGAGCAAUUGCUCAUAAUGCCCCCAGGGUAGCAACAGGUAGUUUCUCGAAAGGUAUAAAGCUGGGAUAGGCUAGCAUUGGUGUUACACAGAGGGUUUUCAAAAACUGCCAAAAUGCGAAAGUCUCUUCAUCUCCUUAUUUUUGCCUCACACCAUGAAUAACAGUGCAUCUGUGCAGCAGUGCCAUUCCUGUCUGUGCAUUGUCCUAAACUACAGGCAUCAGUGUCAGGCGUGCCUUUUUUUUUCUUUGGCUUUUUUUUUUUCUUUACACUGAAAAUUUCACUCUGAAGGUUAACUGCAACUUUUGUUCUCCUCUAUUAAGCAAAAUACAGAGCUAAAGCGAGUUAGCACAGGAGCAGUGCAAAAGUUCAACCUUUUCCUUAUGAGUUGAAUUGGCAAAAUGCAAACUAAACUUCUCACUUCUCCUGAUCUGGAGAAGAAGGAUAAAAUAACUGUGGCUACAAGAGUAUUGAAAGUGAAGGCCUGUGCAAUAAUCUCAUCAGCAGUUAAACUCUUUACUACACUGUGGUAGCUCAAUGUGAGUUGGCAAGCACUGCUCUUCAAAACAAUUUUCAUAUCAAUACAUGCUUGCAUCAGCCCCUUCUGUUUUGGGGCAGAUUCUGCCAUCUAGAUAAUUCACUGCUGAGCUCAUGUUGCGAUUCUCUUAUCUAGGUCAUCCCUCUCUUCCCAGCUCCCCUGCGUGCUCACCAGCUUUGCAAAAUAAAUAAAGCUUUAUUAUUAAGCAUUUAGAAUGCUCUAUUGYGGGAGAGCCUUAUCAUUUAUCUCUGCUUCUCACUUUUUUCCUCUGUAUUUUGCAGUCUGUGAGCAAAUAGAGCAAUCAAUUUUUUCUUAGCUAUUAUCUUUUUAAUACAUCAUACAGAAAGCAGAUUUUCAAAAGUCUUUACCUUCUAUCAGCUUAAAUUCUUAUAGC